ACGGGUGAGUAACACGUGGGCAACCUGCCCUUGAGACUGGGAUAACUUCGGGAAACCGGAGCUAAUACCGGAUAAUAUAAGGAACCUCCUGGUUCCUUGUUGAAAGAUGGUUUCGGCUAUCACUUAAGGAUGGGUCCGCGGCGCAUUAGCUAGUUGGUGAGGUAACGGCUCACCAAGGCGACGAUGCGUAGCCGACCUGAGAGGGUGAUCGGCCACACUGGGACUGAGACACGGCCCAGACUCCUACGGGAGGCAGCAGUAGGGAAUCUUCCACAAUGGACGAAAGUCUGAUGGAGCAACGCCGCGUGAGUGAUGAAGGCCUUCGGGUCGUAAAGCUCUGUUGUUAGGGAAGAACAAGUGCGAGAGUAACUGCUCGCACCUUGACGGUACCUAACCAGAAAGCCACGGCUAACUACGUGCCAGCAGCCGCGGUAAUACGUAGGUGGCAAGCGUUAUCCGGAAUUAUUGGGCGUAAAGCGCGCGCAGGUGGUUUCUUAAGUCUGAUGUGAAAGCCCACGGCUCAACCGUGGAGGGUCAUUGGAAACUGGGGAACUUGAGUGCAGAAGAGGAAAGUGGAAUUC
rnacentral:rRNA from 1 species